GUGGGGAAUCUUCCGCAAUGGACGAAAGUCUGACGGAGCAACGCCGCGUGAGUGAUGAAGGCCUUCGGGUUGUAAAGCUCUGUUAAUCGGGACGAAAGAGCGCUGUGCGAAUAGUGCAGCGAAGUGACGGUACCGGAAUAGAAAGCCACGGCUAACUACGUGCCAGCAGCCGCGGUAAUACGUAGGUGGCAAGCGUUGUCCGGAAUUAUUGGGCGUAAAGCGCGCGCAGGCGGAUCUGCCAGUCUGUCUUAAAAGUUCGGGGCUUAACCCCGUGAUGGGAUGGAAACUACAGAUCUAGAGUAUCGGAGAGGAAAGUGGAAUUCCUAGUGUAGCGGUGAAAUGCGUAGAUAUUAGGAAGAACACCAGUGGCGAAGGCGACUUUCUGGACGAAAACUGACGCUGAGGCGCGAAAGCCAGGGGAGCGAACGGGAUUAGAAACCCCUGUAGUCC
rnacentral:rRNA from 1 species